rnacentral:rRNA from 1 species
GCGGGUGAAAAGCCCGCUCGCCGGAAGACCAAGGGUUCCUGUCCAACGUUAAUCGGGGCAGGGUGAGUCGACCCCUAAGGCGAGGCCGAAAGGCGUAGUCGAUGGGAAACGGGUUAAUAUUCCCGUACUUGGUGUUACUGCGAAGGGGGGACGGAGAAGGCUAUGUUGGCCGGGCGACGGUUGUCCCGGUUUAAGCGUGUAGGCUGGUUUUCCAGGCAAAUCCGGAAAAUCAAGGCUGAGGCGUGACGACGAGGCACUACGGUGCUGAAGCAACAAAUGCCCUGCUUCCAGGAAAAGCCUCUAAGCAUCAGGUAACACGAAAUCGUACCCCAAACCGACACAGGUGGUCAGGUAGAGAAUACCAAGGCGCUUGAGAGAACUCGGGUGAAGGAACUAGGCAAAAUGGUGCCGUAACUUCGGGAGAAGGCACGCUGACACGUAGGUGAAGUGAUUUACUCAUGGAGCUGAAGUCAGUCGAAGAUACCAGCUGGCUGCAACUGUUUAUUAAAAACACAGCACUGUGCAAACACGAAAGUGGACGUAUACGGUGUGACGCCUGCCCGGUGCCGGAAGGUUAAUUGAUGGGGUCAGCGCAAGCGAAGCUCCUGAUCGAAGCCCCGGUAAACGGCGGCCGUAACUAUAACGGUCCUAAGGUAGCGAAAUUCCUUGUCGGGUAAGUUCCGACCUGCACGAAUGGCGUAAUGAUGGCCAGGCUGUCUCCACCCGAGACUCAGUGAAAUUGAACUCGCUGUGAAGAUGCAGUGUACCCGCGGCAAGACGGAAAGACCCCGUGAACCUUUACUAUAGCUUGACACUGAACAUUGAGCCUUGAUGUGUAGGAUAGGUGGGAGGCUUUGAAGCGUGGACGCCAGUCUGCGUGGAGCCGACCUUGAAAUACCACCCUUUAAUGUUUGAUGUUCUAACGUGGACCCGUAAUCCGGGUUGCGGACAGUGUCUGGUGGGUAGUUUGACUGGGGCGGUCUCCUCCUAAAGAGUAACGGAGGAGCACGAAGGUUGGCUAAUCCUGGUCGGACAUCAGGAGGUUAGUGCAAUGGCAUAAGCCAGCUUGACUGCGAGCGUGACGGCGCGAGCAGGUGCGAAAGCAGGUCAUAGUGAUCCGGUGGUUCUGAAUGGAAGGGCCAUCGCUCAACGGAUAAAAGGUACUCCGGGGAUAACAGGCUGAUACCGCCCAAGAGUUCAUAUCGACGGCGGUGUUUGGCACCUCGAUGUCGGCUCAUCACAUCCUGGGGCUGAAGUAGGUCCCAAGGGUAUGGCUGUUCGCCAUUUAAAGUGGUACGCGAGCUGGGUUUAGAACGUCGUGAGACAGUUCGGUCCCUAUCUGCCGUGGGCGCUGGAGAACUGAGGGGGGCUGCUCCUAGUACGAGAGGACCGGAGUGGACGCAUCACUGGUGUUCGGGUUGUCAUGCCAAUGGCACUGCCCGGUAGCUAAAUGCGGAAGAGAUAAGUGCUGAAAGCAUCUAAGCACGAAACUUGCCCCGAGAUGAGUUCUCCCUGAGACUUAGAGUCUCCUGAAGGAACGUUGAAGACGACGACGUUGAUAGGCCGGGUGUGUAAGCGCAGCGAUGCGUUGAGCUAACCGGUACUAAUGAACCGUGAGGCUUAACCUU